CAGACUCCUACGGGAGGCAGCAGUGGGGAAUAUUGCACAAUGGGCGCAAGCCUGAUGCAGCCAUGCCGCGUGUGUGAAGAAGGCCUUCGGGUUGUAAAGCACUUUCAGCGAGGAGGAAGGGUAGUGUGUUAAUAGCACAUUGCAUUGACGUUACUCKCAGAAGAAGCACCGGCUAACUCCGUGCCAGCAGCCGCGGUAAUACGGAGGGUGCAAGCGUUAAUCKGAAUUACUGGGCGUAAAGCGCACGCAGGCGGUUUGUUAAGUCAGAUGUGAAAUCCCCGCGCUUAACGUGGGAACUGCAUUUGAAACUGGCAAGCUAGAGUCUUGUAGAGGGGGGUAGAAUUCCAGGUGUAGCGGUGAAAUGCGUAGAGAUCUGGAGGAAUACCGGUGGCGAAGGCGGCCCCCUGGACAMAGACUGACGCUCAGGUGCGAAAGCGUGKGGAGCAAACAGGAUUAGAUACCCUGGUAGUCCACGCUGUAAACGAUGUCGACUUGGAGGUUGUGCCCUUGAGGCGUGGCUUCCGGAGCUAACGCGUUAAGUCGACCGCCUGKGGAGUACGGCCGCAAGGUUAWAACUCWMAUGAAUUGACRGGGGCCCGCACAAGCGGUGGAGCAUGUGGUUUAAUUCGAUGCAACGCGAAGAACCUUACCUACUCUUGACAUCCAGAGAAUUCGCUAGAGAUAGCUUAGUGCCUUCGGGAACUCUGAGACAGGUGCUGCAUGGCUGUCGUCAGCUCKUGUUGUGAAAUGUUGGGKUAAGUCCCGCAACGAGCGCAACCCUUAUCCUUUGUUGCCASCACGUAAUGGKGGGAACUCAAAGGAGACUGCCGGUGAUAAACCGGAGGAAGGKGGGGAUGACGUCAAGKCAUCAUG
rnacentral:rRNA from 1 species